GACGAACGCUGGCGGCGUGCUUAACACAUGCAAGUCGAACGGAUAGGCCCUGCUUUUGUGGGGUGCUCGAGUGGCGAACGGGUGAGUAACACGUGAGUAACCUGCCCUUGACUUUGGGAUAACUUCAGGAAACUGGGGCUAAUACCGGAUAGGAGCUCCUGCUGCAUGGUGGGGGUUGGAAAGUUUCGGCGGUUGGGGAUGGACUCGCGGCUUAUCAGCUUGUUGGUGGGGUAGUGGCUUACCAAGGCUUUGACGGGUAGCCGGCCUGAGAGGGUGACCGGCCACAUUGGGACCGAGAUACGGCCCAGACUCCUACGGGAGGCAGCAGUGGGGAAUAUUGCACAAUGGGCGGAAGCCUGAUGCAGCAACGCCGCGUGCGGGAUGACGGCCUUCGGGUUGUAAACCGCUUUCGCCUGUGACGAAGCGUGAGUGACGGUAAUGGGUAAAGAAGCACCGGCUAACUACGUG
rnacentral:rRNA from 1 species